GAACGAGUGGGCAAGUUAGUGUGUGAACGAGUGGGCAAGUUAGUGUGUGAACGAGUGGGCGAGUUAGUGUGAAUGAGUGGGCGAGUUACUGUAUGAAUGAGUGGGCGAGUUAGUGUGUGAAUGAGUAGGUGUGUGAAUGAGUGGGUGUGUGAACGAGUGGGUGAGUUUGUGAAUGAAUGGGUUAGUUUGUGAAUGAGUGGGUGGGUUAGUGUGUGAAUGAGUGGGUUAGUGUGUGAAUAAGUUGGGUUGUGUGAAUGAGUUAGUGUGUGAAUAAGUGGGUGGGUUAGUGUAUGAAUGAAUGGGUGAGUUUGUGAACGAGUGGGCAAGUUAGUGUGUGAGUGGGCGAGUUAGUGUGUGAAUGGGUGAGUUAGUGUGUGAACGUGUGGGCAAGUUAGUGUGUGAGUGGGCGAGUUAGUGUGUUAAUGAAUAGGUGAGUUUGUGAAUGAGUGGGUGUGUGAACGAGUGGGUGAGUUAGUGUGUGAAUGAAUGGGUUAGUGUGUGAGUGGGUGGGUUAGUGUGUGAAUGGGUGGGUUAGUGUGUGAAUGGAUGAGUUAGUGUGUGAAUGAGUGGGUUAGUGUGUGAAUGAGUCGGGUUAGUGUGUGAAUGACUGGGUGGGUUAGUGUAUGAAUGAGUGUGUGAAUGGGUGAGUUAGUGUGUGAACGAGUGGGCGAGUUAGUGUGUGAAUGGGUGAGUUAGUGUGUGAAUGAGUGGCUGAACGACUGUGAAUGGGUGUGUGAACGAGUGGGUUAGUGUGUGAAUGAAUGGGUGAGUUCGUGUGUGAAUGAGUGGGUAAGUGUGUGAAUGAGUCGGGUUAGUGUGUGAAUGUAUGAAUGAGUGGGUGGGUCAAUGUGUGAAUGAGUUAGUGUGAAUGAGUGGGUGAGUUAGUGUGUGAACGAGUGGGUGAGUUUGUGUGAAUGAGUGGGCGAGUUAGUGUGUGAAUGGGUCAGUGUUUUGGUGUGUGAACGAGUGGGUGAGUUAGUGUGUGAAUGAGUGGGUUAGUGUGUGAAUGAGGGAGUUAGUGUGUGAGUGGGUUUGUGAACGAGUGGGUUAGUAUGUGAAUGAGUGGGUGAGUUAGUGCAUGACUGAGUGGGUGAGUUGGUGUGUGAAUGAGUGGGUUAGUGCAUGAAUGGGUGGGUUAUUGUGUGGAUGAGUGUGAAUGGGUGUGUGAACGAGUGGGUUAGUGUGUGAAUGAGUGGGUUAGUGUGUGAGAGUGUGUGAGGGUGUGUGAAUGAGGGGGUUAGUGUGAACGAGUGGGCGAGUUUGUGAAUGAGUGGGCGAGUUAGUGUGUGAAUGAGUGGGUGUGUGAAUGAGUGGAUGUUAUUGUGUGAAUGAGUGGGUGUGUGAACGAGUGGGUUAGUGUGUGAAUGAGUGGGUGAGUUAGCGUGUGAAUGAGGGAUUUAGUGUGUGGGUGUGUGAACGAGUGGGCGAGUUAGUGUGUGAAUGAGUGGGUUAGUGUGUGAAUGGGUGUGUGAGUGGGUUAGUGUGUGUAUGGGUGUGUGAACGAGUGGGUUAGUGUGUGAAUGAAUGGGUUAGUGUGUGAAUGAGUCAGUGGGUUAGUGUAUGAAUGUGUGUGAGUGGGUGGGUUAGUGUGUGAAUGAGUGGGUGAGUUAGUGUGUCAAUGAGUGGGUGAGUUUGUGAAUGAGUGUGUGUGAACAACUGGGUGAGUGUGUGAAUGAGUGGGUGAGUGUGUGAAUGAGUGGGUUAGUGUGUGAAUGAGUGGGUUUGUGAAUGAGCCGGUGGGUUAGUGUGUGAAUGAGUUAGUGUGUGAAUGAGUGGGUGGGUUAGUGUGUGAAUGAGUUAAUGUGUGAAUGAGUGGGUGAGUUACUUUGUGAACGAGUGGGCGAGUUAGUGUGUGAAUGGGUUAGUGUGUGAAUGAGUGGGUGUGUGAAGGAGUGGGUGAGUUACUAUGUGAAUGAAUGGGUGAGUUAGCGUGUGAAUGGGUGGGUUAGUUUGUGAAUGAAUGGGUGAGUUAGUGUGUGAGUUGGUUAGUGUGUGAAUGAGUCGGUGGGUUAGUGUGUGAAUGAGUUCGUGUGUGAAUGGGUGAGUUAGUGUGAAUGAAUGGGCGAGUUAGUGUGUGAAUGAGUGGGUUAGUGUGUGAAUGAGCGGGUAUGUGAACGAGUGGGUUAGUGUGUAAAUGAGUGGGUGUGUGAAUGAGUGGGUGUUUGUGUGAAUGAAUGGGAGAGUUAGUGUGUGAAUGGGUGAGUUAGUGUGUGAAUGAGCGGGUGUGUGAACAAGUGGGUUAGUGUGUAAAUGAGUGGGUGUGUGAAUGAGUGGGUUAGUGUGUGAAUGAGUGGGUUAGUGUGUGAAUGAGUGGGUUAGUGUGUGAAUGAGUGGGUUAGUGUGCAAAUGAAUGGGUGAGUUUGUGAAUGGGUUAGUGUAUGAAUGAGUCGGUUUAGUGUGUGAAUGAGUGUGUGAAUGAGUAGGUAAGUUAGUGCGUGAACGAGUGGGUGAGUUAGUGUGUGAAUGAGUCGGUGAGUUAGUGUGUGAAUGAAUGGGUUAGUGUGUGAAUGAGUGGGUGGGUUAGUGUGUGAAUGGAUGAGUUAGUGUGUGAAUGAGUGGGUUAGUGUGUGAAUGAGUCGGUGGGUUAGUGUGUGAAUGAGUGGGUGGGUUAGUGUAUGAAUGUGUGAAUGGGUGAGUGUGUGAAUGGGCAAGUUAGUGUGUGAAUGGGUUAGUGUGUGAAUGGUCGAACGAGUUUGUGUGAAUGGGUGUGUGAACGAGUGG
rnacentral:lncRNA from 1 species